CCGGAGCCGCCGCCGGAGCCCCCGCCGGCCCAGGGAGGACAGUUCCCAGCCGAGGCCUCCCGUCCGCUGCCUCCUGACCGUGCAGUUGGCGUCCUCCCACGGGGAGGAACGCGGUUGAGAACCGGAGGACUCUAACUUGCCGACCUCACUCGACGAGUGCGACGCGCGGCCCACCCAACUCCGAGAGGUGUGGCCCGAGAGUCCCGGGGAAGGGGCAUCUGCAGGAGCUUCCGUCGCGACCCCCCAGGGCAGAAACACAAAGGAACUUCUGACGUAAUGGGAAUGUUCUAUGUUUUGAUGAGAAUGGUGAUCACAUAUUCCUCCUUAUGCCUCCUAUUGGCUGAGCCAUUUGAUAGCUGCAAGGCAAAGGAGCACAGGUGCCAGAGUCCUUAGAGAUCAUCCCCUCAAGGUACAGAGUUGGUCAGAGAAGGGCAGGAAAUGGAGCUGGAAAGACCAUUGGAAAACAACCACAUAGUCCAUCUAUUCUUUCUUUCACAUGAUGAAGAGAAUUCAAAACAAAACGGGGGAAACAUAAAGUCCUAUCAGGUUCUGUAUGUUGAUUCAAUCAUAUUCUCACUUGGAGCUUAACUGUAAUACUAACCACCAUCAGUGGUUAUUUUCACAUGAGUGCUAUUUCACACAAAAGGCAAAGGGAAGAAGUAAGUAACAAUAAAACAUGCAUGCUAGAGGCCCAUUUCCAUAACUGGUCAUGAGGCCUUAUUCGAUAAUCAUGGCAAUGUUCCCCCUUCCAUUCUAUGAGCAUCUUGACCUACAUGACGUUUUUUUUUUUUUUUUAACUGGUGGGAAACUUUAACUCAUACUAAGAAUCUAUCUUUUUUAGUUUGCCAUGGUUUCUUGCUGAUUAUUGUCACUGGACAUGGGCGUCCCCUGGGAUCUGGACAUUGUCAUCCAUACCUUAUUAUGUAGCAGCUACCCAAUUUUCCUUGGUAAUCAGGAUCAAUCACCAGCCAGUACGGUGACCUUCUCUGUUUGCUGGAGAGCAAUCUUUGCUUCCAAGUUACUAGCAUAUGGCUGUGUAUUUACUGGUGAAAGUAGGUCUCCUUUGCCCUUUGCCCACCCAAACCUUUCAGUUCACCAAUCUAAAGAUUGUGGGGAUGGUAUCCAAAACUUUGGGAGGUCGGUUAUUAGGUAAAAUGGAAAGGAGGUCAUUCCCACUUCUGCUCCUUGGUUUUUAGGCAGUGGAUUCUGUCUAUAAGAGAAAUGACACCAUGUAUUGGCUGCUGGUUUAAGACACAUCUGUAUGCUGGGUAAAUGCCCUAAGCUCUCAAAGUGUUGUCACCAGGUGUGACCUCACCUAUCAAGCCACCUGCUUCUGGGUAAUAAGGCAUGCAGUAAAACUCUACUGCCCUACUGCCUUUGCUGCAAAAUCAGUUUCUUGGUUCCAGAUGAUGUAAUGCAUGAUUCUAUGGCAAUUGAUGAAACAUUCUAUGAGUCCAUGGUAGUCAUGCUAGUAGAAGCAAAGAAGGCAAGGAAGGUAAUAUAUCUAGAAUAAGGAUCUAUUACAAUGAGAACAAAUAACUGUGACUGUGAAAAAAGGAUCCAAUACAAAUAACCUUUCCCCACAUACCCAACAGGAGGGGUCUACUAGGAAAUGAUGCUGUAUGGGGACUCUUGGUGGCUUCUGCUGUUGGCACAUUGGACACUCAGCAGUGGUGGUAAUCAGAUCAAAUCUAAGAAGAUGUUUGUAUUAUUCCACUAUUGCAUGGCCUCCAUCUCUGCUGCCAUCAUCCCUACAUAUCUGCUUCCAUUAUAGAAGUACAGAUGUGGCUGGAGAAGAGGUACCUGACAACUAGAGUGUGGGUCCCAUUCUCCAAGUGUCCACCUGAUUAUUAAGGGCAUCCUCUCCACUGAAUGCCUCUGGGGGGCAUGGGCUGCAUAUAUCACAGGCUUCUAAUUCCAAGAGGUCCGUGCUGAUAACAUUGUUAUCAGUCUUCCAGUCUUGAACUUUUCAAGUCUCUGACCAAUUAUUUUAGGCAUUAUCCAUAGAUCUGUGCAGAUUCAUGAACAAGGCCAUGAAAACCAAAGUUCUAUCCAUUGGGAGAAUUUCCUUUUGCUACUUUUUUCUUCAUUGUGGUAAAAUAUACUUAACACAAAACCUAUCACUUUAAUCAUUAUUGUAAGUAUAAUCUGUGACAUUUGGUACAUUCAUGUUGUUGUACAACCAUCACCGCCAUUCAUCUCCAGAAAUUUUUCAGCAUCCCUAACAGAAGCUUUGUACCCAUUAAACAAUAAAUCCCAUUUCUUCAGCCUCCCAACCCCUGGUAACCACUGUUCUACUUCUAGUCUCUCCAAAUGAACCAUUUACUCGGCUAAUAACUACCAAACAGGUACGAAAGCCUGUGUUGGUUUAUUCUAGUAAUGACAACAUUCCAAGAAGAACAGGUAUCAACACUUGUUUAUCUUGAAGAUGAGCCACUAAUAUUUUCCAAACUCUUCUGGCUUUUGCUCUGGCAAAUGGGAAACACUGAAUGACCAGACAUACUGGUUCAUACCUGUUGUUUACAGCUGUUGUCCCAGUAUCCCAUCCAAUUUCAUAUUUGACCCAGAUUUCUCAUUUUCUGAAGAAAUAUUUUUUUUGUUCUGAAGAAAUAUUAUUAAUAGUAGAAUUAACAUUAAGUCAGAAUGGUAGUCCUCGAUCCUGUACUUCUUCUGGUUUGUGAAUGUUCUCAUCUAAUAGUGUGUGAGAUGCAUGUGUAGUUCUCACUUGAAAAAUGAUUAAACAUGAAAGCUAUCUAGUGAACUAUCUCAUUUUCCCUGAUCUUCUCCUAAUGCCAUGUAACCAACUUCUCACUUUUAAGGACAGUAUGCAAACCAAUCAAUUAUAUAAUCAAGUAUGCUCAGUCCCAAGUGGCUUGGGACAACUCACUCCUUAGAGCCUGUGAUUAUGAUAGGAAAAGUAUUCAAACCUCCUGUCAGCCACUUAAUUAGGUGAUUUUCAGUGACCUGAGAUGCAUGAGGCCACCAGUCAGAAGGUCAGUAGGAAAAGUGAGACAUGAUAGGUUAGAUUUAUGUGAAAUAUGUGCACAAAAUAGGGACUGGAUAAUUUGAACCUGGAGCAGUUAGUGUAUACUUUGAAUGCUCUUACUACUUAGAAUGAUCAUUUAUUGUACAGUGUAAAUCUAGUUAUUAGUUAUUAGUUAUUUUUAGUAACUAUUUUGCAGUAAAUCCUUUUGGUAACAAUGAAUUAAGAAAGGAAAUGCAUAUUUAGUGAAAAAUCAAGUACUGUAUUUCCAUUUAUCAAGGCAGUUAGUAACGAACAUGUUAAGUCGCCCAACAUAUUUGUCAGUAUUUACCACUCAUCAUGGACCCGAGGAAUAUCUCUGACAACAUGAAAAUCAGAAUAUGUGAAUCUACUAAAGAGGCAUCAGCAAUCAUUCUAAAAGUUUGAGGGCAGCAUUUAACAUGUAUAAUAUCCAUUUACAUAUCAUUCCAUGAAACAUGAUUUUUCAAUUCAAAUGACUUUUAAAUUAAUUUCAUUUUAUUUCAAGUUUUCUUGUGCACGUACAUUGAUUCCAUCAAUGGUUAAAUAAUGCCAGCUUCACACAGUGUUAUCAGGUACUUUAAGUAGAAAAUCAGUCUACUCCAAUUUUUUUUUAUCAACUGUAUACAUGAAAUCAAUAUAAACUUUUUGGAGGCUCAUUCUGUCAAAGGAAAAACAUUUGACAUUAUUUAAAGGCUAUAAUUUUUAUUUUUUUCUAGUGAUUAUAUACAAAUUCUGGUGAUAAAAAUAUCUACACUAAAUUAAGAAACCUCUGGAUGUUUCUAGAAUUCUUGAAUACAUUAUGAUGCCUGUAUGAUCCAUAAUUUCACACAAGCUAUGAUAUCCUAUAGGCCUGAAAAACUUGCUCGGAUUAUUUAUUUAUUCACUAUUGAAUAUAUUUGACAUAUAUAUUUGUAUAUAUGUAAUUUGUAUAAAUUUAAGAUGUACAAAAUGUCAUUUUGAUACAUUUAUACAUUGUAAUAUUAUUGCCUUUGUAUUCAAUCACAUUCCAUAAUUAUGGCACAAUAUUGUUGUCUAUAUUAUUUAUAAAGUGCAUUAGAUCACUGUGGCUUAUUCACUACUUGUUGCAAGUUUAUACCCUUAAACAACAUCAGUCUUAUCUCCAUCCCUAACUUGUAUUAUCUUAUUAUCUAUUUGAUGUUUCUUCCCUCUGUCGGAUUUCUUCUUUUGGAUUUCCUACAUUUAACAUUCUGGGUCUCCUGGAUUCAUUAUCUAAUUUUCUUGUUUUUUCCCUCUGGGGUUAUGAGGAUGGUCAAACACAUGACACCCAACACUAGACAGAUUAGACUGACAGCAGUUUAGUAGUCACUUAUACUCACAGGGUAGGGAAGAAGGACACUGCAUGCCAUUUAGGGCCACAUAGGGGUUGGCACUUGGGAACAGAGUGAGCAAGUAGGGGCUAAGUGACAUAGGCUUUAUUUAUUUAUUUAUUUAUUUAUUUAUUUAUUUAUUUUUUAAUUUAUUUUUUAUUGGUGUUCAAUUUACUAACAUACAGAAUAACCCCCAGUGCCCGUGACAUAGGCUUUAAAUAACAAGAAUGUCAGGUGACCUCUGGUUCCUCUGGGAGGAUGUGAUUGUCCUGUUUGAAUAAUUUCCUCAGGCUGGUGGAGACCUGGAGCCUGCUACUCAGUGAAAAGCAGAAACUAUGACUGGUCCCCGUGAGAAGGAGGGUUGUUUGGCUAGGGGACUUUAUCCUAGGAAUCACAAUGAGAAGAAGAAAUUGAGGUUAGCCAUGUGAGGGCCUCCUGAUUUUACCAGAUGUCAUGACCUAGGAGAGAUAAUUUAAGUGCUGGGUUUCAUAUCCUUGUUUGUUAAAUGGGGAUAAUCAUACCAAUGCCUUAUGGUUCUCACUAUGAUUAAAUGAGAUGUCCUAUCACACUGUAAAUGCAGCAAAGUAAUUGGCUAAGCAAUAGGUCUAUAAUUCUUCCUCUUCAUUACCUGGGAGACACAAGGAAAGAAAGAAAGUGAGCCACUUAAAUAGCUUUAUAAACAUUUAAUGACAGACCUCCUAGCAAACAAAUUGAUGGUGUUGCUAGUGGGAGAGUCUUAUCCUUGGAAUGCUUUUAGAAGGAUAUACCCGGUUGUCUAGGAUUGCCUAUGUUAAACAAACUUAUAAUCUAUGGAUUCCUGGGGCAUGUGUGCCUGGAGAUAUCAUGUAAGUUAUGGGACCAUCUAAAUAGAAAACAGAGUUGUCGGGGAUCCCUGGGUGGCUCAGCGGUUUAGCGCCUGCCUUUGGCCCAGGGUGCGAUCCUGGAGUCCGGGGAUGGAGUUCCACAUCGGGCUUCUGGCAUGGAACCUGCUUCUCCCUC